UAAAGUCAAAUUAAUUGGUUAAAGCUAAUAAAUAACUACUAUUAAGUACAACAACUCUACUUAUUAUUGUAAGAGUAAAAUCUUUAUAAAUAAGAUAGGAAUGUGUUAAUGUAACAUUAAUUCUCUUACGAGGCGCUAGCAUAAAGACUAGGAUUAGAUACCCUAUUAUGGGCGUGAGUAUGAAAGUUUAUUAAGUUAAUAGCCUUAAUUAAAGCAAAACCUAUUUACUAUGGCGGCUGUUAGUCUCACCAGAGUCGUAUGUCCUUAAACGAAACUGCGCGAUCAUCUUACCUUUUAACUUUUGCUAAUAUAAAAUAAUUACAUUAUAGCAAUCUGGCACGUCGCUGUACUAAAAGUGAAGAUUUUAAAUAACUCAUCUUCUAAUUACUUAUUAGCAUUUAUUAAUAACGUACAAGUCAAGACGCCGUUUUAAGAGGCUUAAGAUGUACGAUUUAAUUGAUUUGAUAGAAUUUAUAAGAAUGAAAACUUUCUUUAUUAAAAUAAUUUGGAAGUAAAAUAGGGUUAUUAUUCUUAUUUGAAAUGAGCCACCAAUAAGU
rnacentral:rRNA from 1 species